rnacentral:rRNA from 1 species
CCUACGGGUGGCAGCAGUGGGGAAUAUUGGACAAUGGGCGAAAGCCUGAUCCAGCCAUGCCGCGUGCGUGAAGAAGGCCUUCGGGUUGUAAAGCACUUUCAGUGGGGAAGAAAGCCUUGGGGCUAAUACCCUCGAGGAAGGACAUCACCCACAGAAGAAGCACCGGCUAACUCCGUGCCAGCAGCCGCGGUAAUACGGAGGGUGCGAGCGUUAAUCGGAAUUACUGGGCGUAAAGCGCGCGUAGGCGGUCUGAUAAGCCGGUUGUGAAAGCCCCGGGCUCAACCUGGGAACGGCAUCCGGAACUGUCAGGCUAGAGUGCAGGAGAGGAAGGUAGAAUUCCCGGUGUAGCGGUGAAAUGCGUAGAGAUCGGGAGGAAUACCAGUGGCGAAGGCGGCCUUCUGGACUGACACUGACGCUGAGGUGCGAAAGCGUGGGUAGCAAACAGGAUUAGAUACCCCAGUAGUC